UAGUUUGCUGACGUGCACCGUCAUCAUUCACGCGCGCGUUCAAAAUUUCCCGGCCAAAAUUUCUCGCGAUGGCGGCAUUUCGCGAAUAUCUCGGGUCUUUUGUUUAAUGUUAUAUGCUUGUCUGCAUCCAUUAUGCAGAGUUUUUCUUCUGUGCAGAGAUUGCAACGCUUUGCACCGGAUGAGUAUGCGCCUGCCCGCUUCAGAAUUGACCAUUUUAGGAUGUAAUCCCUGAUUUUGAACGCGCGCGCGAAUGAUGACGGUGCACGUCAGCAAACUA